rnacentral:lncRNA from 1 species
CACACACACACACACACACACACACACAAUGUCCCUCUCAGUCCUGGGUUGUGACCGGCCCAUGGCAUUGGCCAGAUGCACAUGGCUUUCGUUGAAGGAAACGUUGCUUUCCGUCUACUUUCAUCACCCUGCGUCGAGCGACUUGAACGCACUUCCCUGUCGAUGUACUUGGCUAUAUCUACGUCUGACCUGUCUGCCAUAUGUAAUAUCAAAGCCUCUGUCAGCGUGGAGCUGAAUGGGAACAAAAGAGAGGCCUCCAUUAAUGAUUAACUGUUCUAAAAGCCCCGGCUUUUGUAUUCCCAUGGUGCCCAGGCUAUCUGGCCACCAUGUGACAUGCUCACAGCAUUUUUCGAGCAGAUUGGGGGAAAGCUAGUGAGCAAACACAGGUGCUUUGGAGCAGCGUUGCCGACGCUGUCAGGGACAACCACAAACAAGAGCAGCUAUGCCUGGCUAAAUGAAUCCCCACCGCUCCCAACACCAUCACCACCUCCACCCCCCCCCCUGCCCACUCUCUGUCGCUAGCUAACUUGUUUGCUAGCACCCUAUAGCUUUCUCCCCGCAAAGCCUUCCUCCUCGAGACCCCCCCCCCACAAGUCCAAUGUCCGCUACAGCCGCCGCUGCACAACUUCUCACACCCUCCACAGAAACAAACAAAUAAAAGUGAGGACGGCCGACCACUUCUUUGAGGUGAUGGCAUUUGCUGUGGUCAUGACUAGUGGGAGAGCAAACAAAUUAAUGGUGUUCGAGUUUUCACUUUCCAAACCAAACUAAAUGUCUUUUAGUUCAAGUGGGGCAAUUCCACUGACCCUGGUGUCAAACGCUGUAUAAGGGUUGCACACUCUUGCACUUGAAAUGCAGAGAGGAGGCCAUAAGAAAAUUAAACAGUAUGGGCCCACAUGAAACACCUCAAAGUGACACAUCUAGAAUAAAUUGUAUGUGUAAUAAACACUUAUUUCUGCUGUCUGUAUUUUGACCACAAACUUUCACAAGAGGUGUGUGGAGCACUUAACCUUUUCAUCCAGGCUGACUUAUUGUUCAGAGUGACUGGGGGUGCUCUGUAGCUCAACUUUGAUAAGACAAUCAGAUGAUAGGAUGGCGUUAUCUUAACAUGGCUUUCCGGCUGGGGGACAAAUGAACAGUGUGUGAUAACAGGAACAAAAGCUUGGCUCUUAUUGGCUGGCUCCUCCAAAGAAAGGAACAAAUUAUCAGGAUGGAAAAUUCUCAAUAGGUGCAGUUUAUUUCAUUUUCAAUUUUCUAUUCAGCCCAGGUCACAGGAACAGUUUUUUUUUCCACUCAUCACUCACAUUUAUAUUGUCUCCUUUUGGUCUCACAGUCUGCAAUUACCUGCGUCUAUAAAGCCGGGAUUAUUGCUGGAAAGAUGAUAAAAAAUAUUUUAAAACAAACAGUUUAAAUCAACAGGAGAGGAAAUUAAGUUGUAAAAGUUAGAGAGACAUAUGCAGAAAAAUAGAGGCUCUGAGUAAAAAUACAUACUGUGGACUUAUAUCAUACAUACUGAGAGUUAGAAGAAAAGAAAAACGUGUACGCGAGAGAGGAAGAGAUGGAAAGACGGAGAAAGAAGAAGGUCAAACGUUGUUUCUUCAGAGACCUGCUACUGAUCAGUAAAAACGCCACUUCUGUCUGGGUUUUCUGACUUUUGCAGCCCAAUUCUCAGAGUGAGAGAGGGGUGUGUAUACUCAAGGAUUCACUCAGGGCUUUGUUUGCUCUAUUGCCCAAAAAUGAUUGGAAAAAAUAUUGGUGCCCUGGCACGAAAUGUUAGAACUUUCUUAGAACUAAAAAACUGUGUAUAAAUUGCAUGAAUAAAAUAUUUAUU